rnacentral:tRNA from 1 species
GGUCCCAUAGCUCAGUUGGUUAGAGCGUCGUACUAAUAGAUUCACACACUCACCACAGCCUCCUCUGGAGCUGUGAUGCGGAUCCAUCAAGUAAUGCGAAGGUCUUGGGUUCAACCCCCAAUGGGACCA